GAGCAACCUACCUCUAUCAGGGGGAUAGCCUCUCGAAAGAGAGAUUAACACCGCAUAAUAUAAUCUACCGGCAUCGUUGGAUUAUUAAAUAUUUAUAGGAUAGAGAUGGGCUCGCGUGACAUUAGCUAGUUGGUAGGGUAACGGCUUACCAAGGCGACGAUGUCUAGGGGCUCUGAGAGGAGAAUCCCCCACACUGGUACUGAGACACGGACCAGACUCCUACGGGAGGCAGCAGUAAGGAAUAUUGGUCAAUGGGCGGAAGCCUGAACCAGCCAUGCCGCGUGCAGGAUGACUGCCCUAUGGGUUGUAAACUGCUUUUGUCCAGGAAUAAACCUCUUUACGAGUAGAGAGCUGAAUGUACUGGAAGAAUAAGGAUCGGCUAACUCCGUGCCAGCAGCCGCGGUAAUACGGAGGAUCCGAGCGUUAUCCGGAUUUAUUGGGUUUAAAGGGUGCGUAGGCGGCCUAUUAAGUCAGGGGUGAAAUACGGUGGCUCAACCAUCGCAGUGCCUUUGAUACUGAUGGGCUUGAAUCCAUUUGAAGUGGGCGGAAUAAGACAA
rnacentral:rRNA from 1 species